GAAAAAAAACGAAAUUUUUUUUUGCAAAGAAAUACAAUCGAAAAAAAAUGGAAAACCACAAUCGAUCGUCAUCACGAUAUGAGCUCCAUUAGUCAUCAUCAUCAUCAUCAAAUUUUGAUAUCAUCGAAAAAAGAAAAUCGAAAUAAAAAUGAUAAUAUAAUACCACAAACACAAAAGGUUUCUACGUAUGUACUUUCUAUCGAUGGUGUGUGUGUGUGUGUGUGUGUGUGCACCUGAUAUUAUCGAAAUUAUCGAAAUCGAAACCGUUGAAUGACAAAAGAAGAAAAAACCGGUAGACACCAGAAAGAUACCACAAAGAAAGAAAAAAUCUAAAAAAGAACCAACAAUUCUCAUCUGUCACACACACACACACACCUACAGAUAGAAUUGAAUCUUGAAUUUGCAAGAAUUUUUUUUUUUUUUGUUUUUGUUUCAUCAUAUUCGACCAUCGUCAUCAUCAUUAUAAAUUUGUGUGAUAUUCAUUGUUUUGUUCUUCAUUCUAAUUACAUAUGUGUAUGAUUUCAAAUUCAAUCAAUUUUUUAUUAUUACAAUUUAAUUUUCAACAAUUUAAAGUCUUCAUUCAUCUUUUACUAUGUUGAACAUUUCAAAUGAAAAACAAAAUUAAAAUGAAAACUUUCAUCACCCGUCGUCGUCUUCUGCCAUACAACAAUGACAGCAACAACAAGACACCAUCAAAAAAAAAAAAAAAAAAAAUUACCACUACAACCACCAAUGUCAUACUGCACACAAAGAAUGAUGGUGUAUGUGGGAAAAAAAACAUUUUCCAAACGAAUGAAUCCCAUUCGAAAAAUGAUAAUAGAAUAGAAUGAAAUAACAAUUUCCAUUGAAAUGGAAAUUUCGACAGAAAAAUAAACAAACAUAAUAAUCAAAUCAAAUCCAGGAUCGAACCACCAAGGAUACAGCGACCGAUAAACAAACAAACAGAAAAAAAAUCCAAAUUUGAAUCGUAUCCGAAACGAGGACAACAACAGCCGAGAAUCAUAAAAAAAAGAGAAUUACAGGUUUUAUUCUUGCACACCGAUUAAUUUUCUACAAAUCGACAAUUUUCUCCUCUCUAUUCUCAUUGACAUUUCGAUCUCAUCAUCAUCAUCAUCAACAGCAAUAUUUUUUGUUGACAAAUAAUUGGGAUUUUCUUCUUCGGUUUCAAAUGUAUGGCGAAAUUAUGUGAAAAUAAAACAAAAAACAUUUCCGUCAUGGAUUAUGAUGUGUCGACGGAAAUUCUCUUGUGUAUUGUUUGAAAUAAAGAAAGAAAAAAAAAAAAUAUUUCGGAAAAAUUUCAAUUUUUUUCCAGAAAACAACAACAACAACAGAAACAAUCAAAACUUGAAAUCGGAAAAUUCAUUUCAUUCCUUUUGCCCUGUCCUGGUUAAUCAAAAAUGAGAAAAAAUUCAACACUAAAAAGUUUUGAAUUUCUGAACUUUUAUUUUUUUCCAGUCAAAUAAUAAUGGAAAAAUGGUUGGCAUUGGCCAGAAUCAUUGCAUUUGCACAAACAUCUACUAUACUACCUUGAACUGCUACCAGUUUUUUUUUGUUGUUACUGUUGCUGUUGUUCACCUUGAUUAUCGGCAAAUAACAGACGACGAAUUUCAUUUUACCUAUGUAAUAUGUGUGUGUGUGUACUCCUGGAUAAGAAUAUUCUAUGCAACAACGACGGCGCAUUUCUCGUUACGACCAGAAACGACCAAACGAAAAAAUAAAAAUAGAAAUAAAAACGAAACAAGAUUUCGAUAUUUUAUGUUCGAUUCUUUCGAGAAAAUUUUUUUUUUUCAACAUCAUUCUCAACAAUUCACACUGUCAUUGAUUCUGUAUUUAUCCGAAUUUAUUGCCCGACAGCCGUAAAAGUUUAAAAUACUUUUUUUUUC